rnacentral:rRNA from 1 species
GGUGAACGCUGGCGGCGUGCUUAAGACAUGCAAGUCGAACGGCAGUCUUCGGACUGUAGUGGCGCACGGGUGAGUAACGCGUAACUGACAUACCCCAAAGUCGCGGAUAACGAUUUGAAAGAAUCGGCAAUACGUGAUGUGCUGUCAGAUUGUGUUCUGCCAGUAAAGUUCGAUUGCUUUGGGAUGGAGUUGCGUUCCAUCAGUUAGUUGGUGGGGUAGAGGCCCACCAAGGCGACGACGGAUAGCCGGCCUGAGAGGGUGGCCGGCCACAGGGGCACUGAGACACGGGUCCCACUCCUACGGGAGGCAGCAGUUAAGAAUCUUCCACAAUAGGCGGAAGCCUGAUGGAGCGACGCCGCGUGAGGGAUGAAGGUCUUCGGAUCGUAAACCUCUGAAUCAGGGACGAAAGACACUACGGUGGGAUGACGGUACCUGAGUAAUAGCACCGGCUAACUCCGUGCCAGCAGCCGCCGUAAGAC